CGUGCUGUAUUACUGCCUGAUGAACGUUACUGUGAACGCGUUCAUUCUGGUGUCUGUGAACGCACGCUCUCUCAGUUUAACUGUGUUCAAUAGGGUGCCAGAUUUCUAUAGAGCCUUCCAGGCGAAAACCCGGCUAAAACACAUCGUAAACAGGCCUUAAUGUAGCGAAAAAACACCCAAUCUGGCAACACAAGCCACCAGUGUCGCACCCAGCAUGUAGUCGACAAAGCAGCGAGCGAGGAGGCGUCGUAUGAUCAUUUAAACGGAUUUUAUGAUGAGGUCGGUGAGGAUGGGAAAAAUCUUACAUUUCUGUGCAAACUUUGCCCGUCGAUAAAAUAAUUGCUGUCUGUGGUUGUAUAUGGG